rnacentral:rRNA from 1 species
UACAGAGGGUGCAAGCGUUGUUCGGAAUUAUUGGGCGUAAAGAGCUCGUAGGCGGUCUGUCGCGUCUGCUGUGAAAACUCAGGGCUUAACCCUGAGCUUGCAGUGGGUACGGGCAGACUAGAGUGCGGUAGGGGAGACUGGAAUUCCUGGUGUAGCGGUGAAAUGCGCAGAUAUCAGGAGGAACACCGGUGGCGAAGGCGGGUCUCUGGGCCGUAACUGACGCUGAGGAGCGAAAGCAUGGGGAGCGAACAGG